ACGGGAGGCAGCAGUGGGGAAUAUUGCACAAUGGGGGAAACCCUGAUGCAGCGACGCCGCGUGAGUGAAGAAGUAUUUCGGUAUGUAGAGCUCUAUCAGCAGGGAAGAAAAUGACGGUACCUGACUAAGAAGCCCCGGCUAACUACGUGCCAGCAGCCGCGGUAAUACGUAGGGGGCAAGCGUUAUCCGGAUUUACUGGGUGUAAAGGGAGCGUAGACGGUAAUGCAAGUCAGAAGUGAAAGCCCAGGGCUCAACCUUGGGACUGCUUUUGAAACUGUAAUACUAGAGUGCAGGAGAGGUAAGUGGAAUUCCUAGUGUAGCGGUGAAAUGCGUAGAUAUUAGGAGGAACACCAGUGGCGAAGGCGGCUUACUGGACUGUAACUGACGUUGAGGCUCGAAAGCGUGGGGAGCAAACAGGAUUAGAUACCCUGGUA
rnacentral:rRNA from 1 species